CCCACCCCUGCGGGCUCCGGCCGGGAAGCCCCUGGUUGGGCGGCGGGCGGACGCUGGCCUAGGCGCCCGCUCCGUGCGCGGGGACGCGAGCUGCCCCGGAGGCCCGCUCUUCGGAGCAGGACCCGGGGCCUGCGCGGCGGCCUGGGGGGGGGCAGGGCGCGCCCCUGGGCCGUCGGCGUCUUAGAAGCCACUGCAGUAAACGCACGGCAGCAGGGAGCCCCCUUGGCACACACGAGCAGGUCUCUGUCCUUGCAGCCCGGCCCAGGAGGGACAUAUGACUCCAUCGGCACGGCUCCAAACUUGUAUCAGUGUUGACUGCUUGCCAGUAGAACCCUUGGUUUGUAGUGGGACCCAUCUCUGUCCAGAAGAAGACUGUAUUUCCUCACUUCCCUGUAGCUUGAUGUGGUCAUGUGCCCAACGUCUGUCGAGUAGGAUAUACGCAGAAGCCGUGCAAGGAACUUCCAGGAAAUCCUUAAAGAGAAGGGGCUAUUCUCCCUCUCUCUUUCCUCUGGCACAACAUGAAUGUGAUGGCCGGAGCUUGAAUAGCCAUCUUGAACUAUGAAGUGGAAGCCACGUGCUAAGGAUGACAGAGCAGAAAGUAGCAGCCUGGUUUCCUGGCACCGUGGACAGGCAUAUCAGCCCAGGAGAGACUACCGCCAGAUUUUUACAUGUGAGAGAAAGUAAUCUGCUAUUUUGGUAAGCCACUGUAAUUUUGGAUUCCUUGUUGCUCAUAGCUAAGUCUAACUCAACUCUCGAAUAUGGAAAGGAAUUAUCUUCUUUUGAGAAUAUAUCAUAAUGUGCUCUAAGUUGUUUAAUUUAGGCUGAUGGUGGCAUCUCCCAUUUGAUGAAGGAAUUCAAAUCUGAAUGAUGUCCCCAUAGUAAAAAAAAAUUAAUAACAAUACAGCUCACUUUGAUUUCUCUCUCUGAGGGUGUCAGUACCUUCACCGUGAUGUUCACUUCCUUUGAAAGAAUAACAUGUUCUGACAAGUGGAAAUUGGUUAUCUAAAGCAAAUACCUUGCUACUUUAAAUCUGCUAAAAAACAAACUGUAUUCAUUUUCAAUUCCUGUGUCUAAAGCAAUUGUGGAAAAUUUAUGUUCCAAUGAAUUCAAAAGAUUAAUGUUGAAUUAAUAGUAAGUGAAUUUUGUACUGAGGAUGGUUGCUUCUAGAGUGCUGCUAAUUUAUUUCUUGACCUAGUGGUGGUUGCUUACAUAUUUGCUUUAUAUUUAUCCAUUAAACUGUACAUAUGUUUAUGUACUUUUCUGUGUUAUAUAUUUCAUAAUAAUAAAGGAUUA